rnacentral:lncRNA from 1 species
AAGGAAAAGGUUUCUUUCUAGUUGGACAUUCAAAGGAAAAUAACAGGCUCUAAGAAAAGGGAAGAAAAUGGAGAAUAUCUGUAGCCCAUCAAUUGGGUGAUUUUUGUCCCAUGUUGCAUUUUGUCAAGUCUGCAUAAGGAUGAGAGUUGGCCUGGAGCCAAGGGACUCUUUAAAUCUACAGAGGAAUUCAUAGCGGAAAAUCGCUGCAUAUAUUUUGCUGACAUCUCUUACAAAUCCACAUUGCUGCAUUGUGCUAAGGAACACAGAUGAAGGAAAGGGGAGAUUUUCAUCUUCAACCAAAUAGAAAAUUAAUUCAUCUCUACAUGAGUUCCUUGACUAUGUUACUCUUCAAAUUAAAGGGUCUAUCAUAUCCAGCGUCCUCAGAUGAAUUUGUGGUUUUAUAUUUUUUCUUAGUGGUGUACAGUCUGUCCCUACAUCUUAUUUUUUUAGAUAGUUAAAGAUGUGCCUCUUA